GACUGCCCCCAGGCCCUGUAACAGACCCACACUGAGGAUUGAACCCAGAGCUUCUCAUAUGCCAGGCAACCGCUAUAAGACUCUCAGCCCCACCGUCUGCCACUUCAAUUACCUGAAAGGCAAGGACAACCUCCCCUCUGCACACUGAGCACCACUUCUCUGCGACUGCCUGCAAGCAUGCCCUCAGAAAAAAUGGGGGAAACCCCAUUUCUCAUUGUGAUCUGUAAUGGCUGCCUAGAUGAGCAAGCCACUGUGAUGUCAGUUUCAAUACCUUCCCAAGACAAAGAUGGUGAAAGGGAAUGCAAACAUGGAGAGAGACAUAGGUAGAGUUUCCAGAGGCAGACAAUAU
rnacentral:lncRNA from 1 species